rnacentral:rRNA from 1 species
ACCUGCAUCCGAUACGGUCGAGCUAGAGUUUGGUAGGGGAGACUGGAAUUCCUGGUGUAGCGGUGGAAUGCGCAGAUAUCAGGAGGAACACCGAUGGCGAAGGCAGGUCUCUGGGCCAAUACUGACACUGAGGAGCGAAAGCGUGGGGAGCGAACAGGAUUAGAUACCCUGGUAGUCCACGCCGUAAACGGUGGGCGCUAGUUGUGCGAACCUUCCACGGUUUGUGCGACGCAGCUAACGCAUUAAGCGCCCCGCCUGGGGAGUACGAUCGCAAGAUUAAAACUCAAAGGAAUUGACGGGGCCCCGCACAAGCAGCGGAGCAUGCGGCUUAAUUCGACGCAACGCGAAGAACCUUACCAAGGCUUGACAUAUACAGGAAUAUGGCAGAGAUGUCAUAGCCGCAAGGUCUGUAUACAGGUGGUGCAUGGUUGUCGUCAGCUCGUGUCGUGAGAUGUUGGGUUAAGUCCCGUAACGAGCGCAACCCUCGUUCUGUGUUGCCAGCAUUAAGUUGGGGACUCACAGGAGACUGCCGGGGUUAACUCGGAGGAAGGUGGGGGAUGACGUCAAAUCAUCAUGCCCCUUAUGUCUUGGGCUGCACGCAUGCUACAAUGGCUGGUA